UGGGGAAUAUUGGACAAUGGGCGCAAGCCUGAUCCAGCCAUGCCGCGUGGGUGAUGAAGGCCUUAGGGUUGUAAAGCCCUUUCGGCGGGGAAGAUAAUGACGGUACCCGCAGAAGAAGCCCCGGCUAACUUCGUGCCAGCAGCCGCGGUAAUACGAAGGGGGCUAGCGUUGCUCGGAAUUACUGGGCGUAAAGCGCACGUAGGCGGCUUGUUAAGUCGGGGGUGAAAUCCCGGAGCUCAACUCCGGAACUGCCUUCGAUACUGGCAAGCUCGAGUCCGGGAGAGGUGAGUGGAACUGCGAGUGUAGAGGUGAAAUUCGUAGAGAUCGGGAGGAACAUCUGUGGCGAAGGCGACUGCCUGGACCAGCACUGACACUGAGGCACGAAAGCGUGGGGAGCAAACA
rnacentral:rRNA from 1 species